ACGGGUGAGUAACACGUAUCCAACCUGCCGUCUACUCUUGGACAGCCUUCUGAAAGGAAGAUUAAUACAAGAUGGCAUCAUGAGUCCGCAUGUUCACAUGAUUAAAGGUAUUCCGGUAGACGAUGGGGAUGCGUUCCAUUAGAUAGUAGGCGGGGUAACGGCCCACCUAGUCUUCGAUGGAUAGGGGUUCUGAGAGGAAGGUCCCCCACAUUGGAACUGAGGCACGGUCCAA
rnacentral:rRNA from 1 species